UACGUAGGGUGCAAGCGUUGUCCGGAUUUAUUGGGCGUAAAGAGCUCGUAGGCGGUCUGUCGCGUCGGAUGUGAAAACCCAGGGCUCAACCCUGGGCCUGCAUUCGAUACGGGCAGACUAGAGUGUGGCAGGGGAGACUGGAAUUCCUGGUGUAGCGGUGAAAUGCGCAGAUAUCAGGAGGAACACCGGUGGCGAAGGCGGGUCUCUGGGCCAAUACUGACGCUGAGAAGCGAAAGCAUGGGGAGCGAACAGG
rnacentral:rRNA from 1 species